AGCUCGACAUGGGGGCAACCCUGNUCGUGCGACGCCGCGUGCAGGACGAAGGUCUUCGGAUCGUAAACUGCUUUCGCCAGGGGAGAAAAGUUCACCGGUUAAUACCCGGAGGAUUUGACGGUACCUGGUAAAGAAGCUCCGGCUAAGUCCGUGCCAGCAGCCGCGGUAAUACNGGGCNGGAGCAAGCGUUGUUCGGAUUUAUUGGGUGUAAAGGGUGCGCAGGCGGUCGAUUAAGUCAGAAGUGAAAUGUCUACGGCUCAACCGAGACACUGCUUCUGAUACUGGUUGACUUGAGUGCGGAAGGGGAGUGUGGAAUUCCUGGUGUAGCGGUGAAAUGCGUAGAUAUCAGGAGGAACACCGGUGGCGAAGGCGACACUCUGGUCCGUAACUGACGCUCGUGCACGAAAGCCAGGGGAGCGAACGGGAUUAGAUACCCCGGUAGUCCUGGCCGUAAACGUUGGGCACUAGGUGUGGGAGGUAUCGACCCCUCCCGUGCCGUAGCUAACGCAUUAAGUGCCUCACCUGGGGAGUACGAGCGCAAGCUUGAAACUCAAAAGAAUUGACGGA
rnacentral:rRNA from 1 species